AGAAUUGAUCUGGUCAGGACGAACGCUGGCGGCAUGCCUAACACAUGCAAGUCGAACGGAACUAAGGGGCUUGCCCUUGGUUAGUGGCGGACGGGUGAGUAACGCGUGAGCAACCUGCCUUUCAGUGGGGAAUAAUAUCCUGAAAAGGGUACUAAUACCGCAUAACGUAACGAGAUCGCAUGGUUUGUUACCAAAGAUUUAUCGCUGAGAGAUGGGCUCGCGUCCGAUUAGCCAGUUGGUGGGGUAACGGCCUACCAAAGCUACGAUCGGUAGCCGGACUGAGAGGUUGAACGGCCACAUUGGGACUGAGACACGGCCCAGACUCCUACGGGAGGCAGCAGUGGGGGAUAUUGCGCAAUGGGGGAAACCCUGACGCAGCAAUGCCGCGUGAAGGAUGAAGGUCUUCGGAUUGUAAACUUCUUUUGUCAGGGACGAAAAUUGACGGUACCUGACGAAUAAGCUCCGGCUAACUACGUGCCAGCAGCGGC
rnacentral:rRNA from 1 species